rnacentral:rRNA from 1 species
UUCGCCCUUAGAGUUUGAUCCUGGCUCAGGACGAACGCUGGCGGCGUGCCUAACACAUGCAAGUCGAGCGGGGAUACAGGUCUUCGGAUUUGUAUUCUAGCGGCGGACGGGUGAGUAACGCGUGAGCAAUCUGUCACAUACAGGGGGAUAACAGCUGGAAACAGCUGCUAAUACCGCAUAAGACCACAAUGUCGCAUGACGAAGGGGUCAAAGGAGAGAUCCGGUAUGUGGUGAGCUCGCGUCCCAUUAGGUAGUUGGUGAGGUAACGGCCCACCAAGCCUGCGAUGGGUAGCCGACCUGAGAGGGUGAUCGGCCACACUGGAACUGAGACACGGUCCAGACUCCUACGGGAGGCAGCAGUGGGGAAUAUUGGGCAAUGGGCGAAAGCCUGACCCAGCAACGCCGCGUGAGGGAAGAAGGUUUUCGGAUUGUAAACCUCUGUCCUUGGUGACGAAGGAAGUGACGGUAGCCAAGGAGGAAGCCCCGGCUAACUACGUGCCAGCAGCCGCGGUAAUACGUAGGGGGCGAGCGUUGUCCGGAAUGACUGGGCGUAAAGGGCGCGUAGGCGGCCGCUUAAGUUAGGAGUGGAAGUCCUGCUUUCAAGGUGGGAAUUGCUUUUAAUACUGGGUGGCUUGAGUGCAGAAGAGGUAAGUGGAAUUCCCAGUGUAGCGGUGAAAUGCGUAGAGAUUGGGAAGAACACCAGUGGGCGAAGGCGACUUACUGGGCUGUAACUGACGCUGAGGCGCGAAAGCGUGGGGAGCAAACAGGAUUAGAUACCCUGGUAGUCCACGCGGUAAACGAUGAAUGCUAGGUGUAGGGGGUAUCGACCCCUCCUGUGCCGGAGUCAACACAAUAAGCAUUCCGCCUGGGGAGUACGGCCGCAAGGUUGAAACUCAAAGGAAUUGACGGGGGCCCGCACAAGCAGCGGAGCAUGUGGUUUAAUUCGACGCAACGCGAAGAACCUUACCAGGUCUUGACAUCGAUGUAAAGCAUGUAGAGAUACAUGUAACUCUUCGGAGGACAGAAGACAGGUGGUGCAUGGUUGUCGUCAGCUCGUGUCGUGAGAUGUUGGGUUAAGUCCCGCAACGAGCGCAACCCUUAUGAUCAGUUACUAACGGGUAGAGCCGAGGACUCUGAUAAGACUGCCGGGGACAACUCGGAGGAAGGUGGGGACGACGUCAAAUCAUCAUGCCCCUUAUGACCUGGGCUACACACGUGCUACAAUGGUGGUUACAAAGAGAAGCGACAUCGCAAGGUAGAGCGGAUCUCAAAAAAGCCAUCUCAGUUCGGACUGUGGGCUGCAACCCGCCCACACGAAGUUGGAGUUGCUAGUAAUCGCGGAUCAGAAUGCCGCGGUGAAUACGAUCCCGGGCCUUGCACACACCGCCCGUCA